rnacentral:misc_RNA from 1 species
UGUUUGCAGUAUAAUUGUAUGGUCUCGCCCGUACAGACGCCAUGCCCUUUGAAAGCUGGAAAGCAGAAGACUAGACCAGCAGCACAGUGCAACGAGUGGAGAGGGUAAAGUUGGAAUUCACCAGAUAUAAUAGAGGGCAAAACUGAUACAAAUGGUUUAAUAUUUUUUGGGGCAGGGGGUUGAUUUAAUAUUUUUUAAUGCAAUCUUAAUGAUUGAAUAAGGAAGAUUAGUAGAUAAAAUUUGAUGAGAAAUUGUAGUUAUUUAUGGGAUUUGUUUGAGAUUUCAAUGUCACUAGC